rnacentral:rRNA from 1 species
GAUCUUGGCUCAGGAUGAACGCUAGCUACAGGCUUAACACAUGCAAGUCGAGGGGCAGCAUGAACUUAGCUUGCUAAGUUUGAUGGCGACCGGNGCACGGGUGAGUAACACGUAUCUAACCUUCCGUUUACUCAGGGGAUAGCCUUUCGAAAGAAAGAUUAAUACCUGAUAGUAUGGUGAGAUUGCAUGAUAACACCAUUAAAGAUUUAUUGGUAAACGAUGGGGAUGCGUUCCAUUAGGUAG